rnacentral:rRNA from 1 species
CCCUAGUAACUGCGAGUGAAGCGGGAAAAGCUCAAAUUUAAAAUCUGGCGGUCUUUGGCUGUCCGAGUUGUAAUCUAGAGAAGUGUUAUCCGCGCUGGACCGUGUACAAGUCUCCUGGAAUGGAGCGUCAUAGAGGGUGAGAAUCCCGUCUUUGACACGGACUGCCAGGGCUUUGUGAUGCGCUCUCAAAGAGUCGAGUUGUUUGGGAAUGCAGCUCAAAAUGGGUGGUAAAUUCCAUCUAAAGCUAAAUAUUGGCGAGAGACCGAUAGCGAACAAGUACCGUGAGGGAAAGAUGAAAAGAACUUUGGAAAGAGAGUUAAACMGUACGUGMVVBUGCUGAAAGGGWAACGCUUGAAGUCAGUCGCGUUGGCCAGGGAUCAACCUUGCUUUUGCUGGGCGUACUUCCUGGUUAAUGGGUCAGCAUCAAUUUUGACCGUUGGAUAAAGGUUAGGGGAAUGUGGCAUCUUCGGAUGUGUUAUAGCCCUUGGUCGCAUACAACGSUUGGGAUUGAGGAACUCAGCACGCCGCAAGGCCGGGUAUUUAUACCACGUUCGUGCUUAGGAUGCUGGCAUAAUGGCUUUAAUCGACCCGUCUUGAAACACGGACCAAGGAGUCUAACAUGCCUGCGAGUGUUUGGGUGGAAAACCCGAGCGCGUAAUGAAAGUGAAAGUUGAGAUCCCUGUCGUGGGGAGCAUCGACGCCCGGACCAGACCUUUUGUGACGGCUCCGCGGUAGAGCAUGUAUGUUGGGACCC